rnacentral:rRNA from 1 species
UAUAUCAGUUAUAGUUUAUUUGGUGAAGUGUACUACUUGGAUAACCGUAGUAAUUCUAGGGCUAAUACAUGAGAAAGUCCUCUGGUGAGGUGUGUUUAUUAGAAUGAAAACCAUAUGCUUCGGCAUGAUAGUGAGUAAUAGUAACCUAUCGUAUCGCAUGCUUAAUGUAGCGAUGAGUCUUUCAAGUUUCUGCCCUAUCAGCUUUCGAUGGUAGUAUAUGGGCCUACCAUGGCAGUAACGGGUAACGAAGAAUUUGGGUUCGAUUUCGGAGAGGGAGCCUGAGAGAUGGCUACCACAUCCAAGGAAGGCAGCAGGCGCGUAAAUUACCCAAUCCUGACACAGGGAGGUAGUGGCAAUAAAUCACAAUGCGGGACUAUCAGUCUUGCAAUUGGAUUGAGAACAAUGUNCAACUCUUAUCGAUAAGCCA